CAUAGGUUAAUGAGGCGAACCGGGGGAACUGAAACAUCUAAGUACCCCGAGGAAAAGAAAUCAACCGAGAUUCCCCCAGUAGCGGCGAGCGAACGGGGAGCAGCCCAGAGCCUGAAUCAGUGUGUGUGUUAGUGGAAGCGUCUGGAAAGGCGCGCGAUACAGGGUGACAGCCCCGUACACAAAAAUGCACAUACUGUGAGCUCGAUGAGUAGGGCGGGACACGUGGUAUCCUGUCUGAAUAUGGGGGGACCAUCCUCCAAGGCUAAAUACUCCUGACUGACCGAUAGUGAACCAGUACCGUGAGGGAAAGGCGAAAAGAACCCCGGCGAGGGGAGUGAAAAAGAACCUGAAACCGUGU
rnacentral:rRNA from 1 species